GCCUGGGGGGCUCAGUCGGUUAAGCGUCUGACUUCAGCUCAGGUCAUGAUCUCACGGUUCGUGAGUUCGAGCCACACUUUGGGCU
rnacentral:tRNA from 1 species